ACCUCCCGCCCCGAUGCCCGCCCCCACCUCCCGCCCCGAUGGCCGCGCCCACCUCCCGCCGCGACGACCGCCCCCAACCUUCUGCCGCGGUUGGCGCCCCUCCCCAGAUCCUGCCACAGCCCCAAAACCCAACCGGCGCCGCCGCUGUCGUCCUGCACUGGAUCGACCCGCCACUAUCGCUCCGCUGUCGCGUACAGGCAGUUCAACGCCUCAACCCCAGGCCGUUCAUUGUCUUGCCGCCCGCCGGCUCCUCCAUGCAUGGACGCCUAGCUCCUGCACUAAAACCACCGUGGCCCAGGAAUUCACCCGCCCCAACCCACUGGCCCGGCUACGAAUGCCCCGCACUCCAUCCGGCGACCAGCCCUGCGUCGCGCACGCCCCUCCGACGACCGGAGACCUGCCACGCGCCCCGCACUCCAGCCGCGGCCAACUCCCUCCUGUGCUGCUCGGUUGCUCUGACCUUGCAAGCAGCCUCGCUCGCCGUAAAUGAUUUUUGUGUGUGUUAUUUGCUCAUUCCCAUUGUGCGUGUGCACUGCUUGAAGGAACGCAUGGCAAAGGACAGGUUUUUUUGUGCUUGUUGUUUGCAGGUCUUCUGAGGAUUAAAUAAAAAGCUUGCUCAAAGGAAGCAUUUCCCAUCAGUGAAUUGGCUCAUUUCCUACUGGAAUACUCGCAGGCACUCGAGUCCUACGAGAAGUUUGAUUCAGACUUCAUUGCUAUUGGAACGAAGGCGUGUGAGGUGUUGCACAUGGAGGAUGAUCUAAGUGAAAUUGUGCAGGGAGAAGGACUCAAUCAGGCACUGUAAAAGAAUUCUGAAUUAUUGUCUGUUAAACACUGCACAAAGAUUCUGCAUCCGGGAAAUGGCUAGUCAUUAUCAUGCACCUUAGCAAGGAAAUAGUAGACGGUAUGACAUGUAAAAAAGAUGCGUUGAAGUGGUUGGUGCUGCUCUCCUGAAAGAUGAUUGAUGGCUACCUCUUCCCGCUGGUGGGGCUCUAUCGCUGCAGCGCCCCGGCUGUUCACAGCCGCCACCCUCGGCCGCUCAGCAACACAGCGCUAAGCCGUUCGACGCCACAGCUGAGGAGGUGCCCGCUUUUCCCCACCUCCCCCUAUACGUUCAUCUCCUUCUCUUGUGUAUAUUCAGUUCAACAUCUCGUGAUUCUUCAGGUCACCAUAGUCGGCAUUUUCAGUUCAUCUUGCAGGUGAUGGAGCUCCCCUUCGGUUCAUCUUGCAAGUGUGUUUUUGGGCAGUACAAAAUACAUCGCUAUAGUUAGUACAGAUGUGGCACCUUGCAGAGUACUAAAAAGACCAACUGAUUAGGAUUACUAUAAUGAACUAAUAAUAAAAUUUGAGUCCUUCAGGAUCCUCUAGUUCUGGAUGUCCACUGCCAUCCCCGUCAGCCCCUAUUUCUUCACUGUAAGGAGGCUCUCUGCUCGUCGCUCGGUUGUCCUCUAUUUGUUCUAAUUUCUGAAGAAAUUGCAAAUCAAGUUUAGUUUGAUGAUGGCUGUUGAGGAUUACAUGUGUGUGCUUUGAUUGAUUUAGUUUCCGAAUCUUGACUUGCUAAAAUGAACCUACUCUGUUUUCAAUCAAUUGUGGAGUGCAGGAAAUCCAAAACUGUCUUACUGUUUACUCCAUCAUAUCAGCUAUUUUAUUGCUAAUAAGUUUAGCUAUUUUAUCAAAAUAGGAGGCUAUAAGAUGUUGACUGUCAUUGCCCUUCCAAAGAUGUCGUUGGUGUCGAACCAUUCGCAGUGAGUUUCAGUCCAUAGGUUGCUCGUGAUCCUCACUCCUUCAGCUCUACUUCGUCGGCGCCGUCAGUCCACAGAAGUAGGGGCGGCGUGCCCGUCAACAAACAAGAACAGAAGGAAUGGAAGGCUCCCCACCCACCGAGACCAAAUACAUGCUGCUGGAGAAGGACCACUCAUAAGGAAUAUGUAUGGGAAAAGUUCACUUAAUCUGCUACUCAAGGUCAUACAUAAAAGUUGGAAGGCUGUCGUAGAGCAAGUUCUAGAUCAAAGGGUGUAAUUUCUGUUUCAAUUACUGCCAGUAUUGGAUUUUGUACUAUGGACAAAUGUAGACAACUGUGUUUCUUGUAUGUGUUGCCAUUCCAUUUUUGAUAUAUCUGCUACUCAAGUUAUUUCCUAAAA